rnacentral:rRNA from 1 species
UACGAAGGGUGCAAGCGUUACUCGGAAUUACUGGGCGUAAAGCGUGCGUAGGCGGUUUGUUAAGUCUGGUGUGAAAGCCCCGGGCUCAACCUGGGAAUGGCAAUGGAUACUGGCAGGCUAGAGUGCGGUAGAGGGUAGUGGAAUUCCCGGUGUAGCGGUGAAAUGCGUAGAGAUCGGGAGGAACACCAGUGGCGAAGGCGGCUACCUGGACCAGCACUGACACUGAGGCACGAAAGCGUGGGGAGCAAACAGG